AUCAGUUUGCCCAGGCAAGACGAGGGAUAUUGGUCUGUAGGACUCUGUUGUUCCUACUGCUUCUACGUUUGGUGUCUGGGGGAGUAUCAUCGGAGCUCCUUGGAUGGAUUUCUUCACUAGGAUCGCUACUCCUCCGCCGUGGGUAUUUCGGUUUAGGAAGAGCUUUCAGAAGUUUUGAGCGGCUCAUCGAGAUCUCCCCACUUUUUUCGUCAUUCAAUCUCCAGCCAUUUUUUCCUGAACGGAAAAUAAUUAAGAUUCCCCUAACUUUAAUUUCAUAUUUUGUGUUCUUGGAUCGUGUUCGUUUUUUUUAUGUGCUUUGCUUAAAGGAUCUGAAGAAAAGGGAGAGGGGCCUUGCCGCCCUCUAAUGGGGGCGACAUUGCCAGUUUUUUCUUUCUUUUGAGGAGCUAAAUAAAUAAGAGUCAACAC